CGGGGGAGGCCGGAUCCUGGGCUGUGUCCCGGCGCCCUGUGCUCCGGAGCCUGCGCUGGUGGAUUCUCCCGGGCCACGCAGCCCCCU
rnacentral:pre_miRNA from 1 species